rnacentral:rRNA from 1 species
UGCGGAGGAUGCAAGCGUUAUCCGGAAUGAUUGGGCGUAAAGCGUCCGCAGGUGGCUAUGUAAGUCUGCUGUUAAAGAGUGAGGCUCAACCUCAUAAGAGCAGUGGAAACUACAUAGCUAGAGUGCGUUCGGGGCAGAGGGAAUUCCUGGUGUAGCGGUGAAAUGCGUAGAUAUCAGGAAGAACACCGGUGGCGAAAGCGCUCUGCUAGGCCGCAACUGACACUGAGGGACGAAAGCUAGGGGAGCGAAUGGG